ensembl:lncRNA LINC02614 long intergenic non-protein coding RNA 2614
UAGUUACUGAUUCUAGGGAACAAUUGGGUAGAAAGAGAUGGACUCCCUGUGUUUGAAAUUCAGAACUCAAGCUUGGCUCUAAGUGUUUCCUUGCUUUGCUGUGCUCCAGGGGAGUCCUUGAGCAGAAGGAAGCAAGUUGCCUGAGAUUCUUCAAAGCCCGCAGCCCUUUUGGAGGUUAGAUGGUUAUUCUCAGAGCCUUUAUGAUGCAUAAUAAAGACCUAGCUUGGACCAAUAUUAGGAUGAGUUAUCUUGCUAUUAACAUUCUUUUAGGUAGAAGUUGCUGGUCCCAUCUUGCUCACAAUCCUCCAAAGUUUGAAAGUUAUUUUCCAGGAGACUUGGCUUGCACUGAGAGCUGCCCUCCCACCCUCUCUCCAAAUUUCCUCUUGGGGGUAGCCUAACAAGGUGCUGUCACAGACCCUUGUCGGCCACGAUGACCCCACCCAGACCAUCCCUCUGCUGUUUCACUCUUUGAUAGUCUCUGGAGCUCUCUGGGGAGGGGUGAGACCUGCCGUCUAGUUUGUAUGGUUUGCCCAGGUCUUACAGUCAUGGCUGGCUGCCUCUCUCUGAGAACUAGAACUCCUGAACUUGGUGAAAGACCUCAGCCAUCGAUCAUGUUGAAUUAUCGGGGACACUCAUUUGAAAUCCGAGCCUGUUCCAGAUAGACUCUCUCUCUUUCUGCCCUGACCGUGAGAGAAGCCCUGCUGGACGGUGGAGACACUCGUGGGCUGUGAGCAAGGGAUGCAAAGGCUGCCGGGAAUCCCAUCUUUCCAGCAUCAUCUGCCAAGGCACAUUAGUUCCUGGGUAUCUGGAUGGGUUCUAGCAGCAUUACUGUCAUUGAAGGAAAAAUUUUAGCCAUAUUAAAGGUUAAUGCAGCAAUCUCCACAUAGGCUGCCUGGAAGGGAAGCAGGACAAGGUUAGGUUUUCCUUGUGAUGGACAGGAGGCAGGCGGCCCUCCCACAGCCCUGCCUGGCAAUACAGAUGUGUCCCCAAAAGGCACUGGGGGCCAGCUGGAGUGCUAUGCCGAGGCGGACUGACCCGGGCCGUGGGUUCACUCUGCUGGCAGCGGUUUCCCGCCAGCUCCUUGCAGAGUUGGCAGAUGGCCCAGCCCCACAGCAGGAGCCGGGAAUGGCAGAACGAGACACAACAAUUUGAUAUCCACUUGCCAGAUGAGCCGGGUGUCAUCAGUCGCCUGGCUCUAUGCCCAACCUCUUUUUGCAUAAACACUUAUGGAUUCAGCCAAGAGGAAAAGCACUCUGAUUAUGAAUUGAGCAGAAGGAAACAAAGUUCUGCAGAUAAACACCAAUGAAACAAAAAACCACGAAUAAGAAAAAUGACAGAAAAGGAGAACCUUCCCAGAAUCCUCCUGCCAGUGAACGGUCACCAGAGCAAGAGCAUGGAGUCCCUGGGUUUUGAACUGUGAGAUAAGGAAGAUGAUGAAAACCUCCCUAGCAGCCAGUUCUACAGGGCCUGGAGCUGAUACGAAAAACCUCCCUUCUUUCCCAAAUGGUCCCCAGCUUCCCCGUUCACUGAAGGCCCUGCAGUCGGGAACAGUCAGGACUUUGCACCCAGUUGUUGUGGGUGUUUGGCCAACCCUUCCUCUUGUGUGAUUCAUGGACCUGCAGCAUUGCGUCACCUGUGAGCUUUUGGAAUUGAAGACUCUCAGGGCUCACCCGGGAGGACCUGCUGGGCCAGAAUCUGCAUUUUAACAAGAUGCCUGGGUGAUCUGCAUACACGUUCAGAUCUGAGAAGUGCUGGUAGGAGAGGCUUUAAGGUGGUAAUUAGAUCUUUUCUCCACCUACAAGAAUCUUAGUUUCUUCAUGUUAAAUCUAUUAACUGUGGCAAUGGCAUGGGGGUUAUAAAACAAAACAAAACAAAACCCUUACAUCAAGAAUGCACCCUGGUGUGUUAUGGAUGUGGGUGAAAUGAAAUGUCUGGAAUUUGCUUUAAAAUAUUGUAAAAUAGCAAGAAGGAAAAGAAAAGCGGGAACUGGAAUGAG